UUGAUUAUUGCUGGGGACUCAGAGAUACACUGAAGCAGAGUUUAGGUUCGGGCUCCCGGCGGGCACCUCCCCAGAGGGGGAGGCAGUGGCCCCUCCCCGGGGCUGCCCGCCAGAGCAACAAGAGUAUAGGUUCACAAGGGGUAGAUGAAGAGGCCCGGGGGCGCUCCUUCUCGUAAUGAUCCCUCCGCUGGUUCACCAACGGAGA
rnacentral:misc_RNA from 1 species